AGUUAAGUGACUAAGCGUACACGGUGGAUGCCUUGGCAAUCAGAGGCGAAGAAGGACGUGCUAAUCUGCGAAAAGCGUGGGGGAGCUGAUAAGGAGCGCAAAUCCCACGAUGUCCGAAUGGGGAAACCCGAUAGGUGAAGAAUCUAUCAUUGUUGUCUGAAUUCAUAGGGCAACAAGGCAAACCGGGAGAACUGAAACAUCUAAGUACCCCGAGGAAAAGAAAUCAACCGAGAUUCUGCGAGUAGCGGCGAGCGAAAGCGGAGGAGCCAGCGAGUGAUAGCAUAAGUUUUAGGAGAAUUGUCUGGGAAGGCAAGCGAGAGAGGGUGACAGCCCCGUAUCCGAAAAGACGGAUGUGGUACUAAGCACGCGAGAAGUAGGGCGGGACACGAGGAAUCCUGUUUGAAGAAGGGGGGACCAUCCUCCAAGGCUAAAUACUCCUGAUUGACCGAUAGUGGACCAGUACCGUGAGGGAAAGGCGAAAAGAACCCCGGGAGGGGAGUGAAAGAGAACCUGAAACCGUGUACGUACAAGCAGUGGGAGCCUGAAAGGGUGACUGCGUACCUUUUGUAUAAUGGGUCAGCGACUUAUAUUUUGUAGCGAGGUUAACCGGAUAGGGGAGCCGAAGGGAAACCGAGUCUUAACUGGGCGGUUAGUUGCAAGAUAUAGACCCGAAACCCGGUGAUCUAGCCAUGGGCAGGAAGAAGGUUGGGUAACACUAACUGGAGGGCCGAACCGACUACUGUUGAAAAAGUAGCGGAUGACCUGUGGCUGGGGGUGAAAGGCCAAUCAAACCGGGAGAUAGCUGGUUCUCCCCGAAAUCUAUUUAGGUAGAGCCUUAUAUGAAUACCUUCGGGGGUAGAGCACUGUUUCGGCUAGGGGUCCAUCCCGGAUUACCAACCCGAUGCAAACUGCGAAUACCGAAGAGUAAUGUAUAGGAGACACACGGCGGGUGCUAACGUUCGUCGUGGAGAGGGAAACAACCCAGACCGCCAGCUAAGGUCCCGAAGUCUAUAUUAAGUGGGAAACGAAGUGGAAAGGCUUAGACAGCUAGGAUGUUGGCUUAGAAGCAGCCAUCAUUUAAAGAAAGCGUAAUAGCUCACUAGUCGAGUCGGUCUGCGCGGAAGAUGUAACGGGGCUAAAAUAUAGCACCGAAGCUGCGGCAUCAGGCGUAUCACACAUACGCCUUACGAUUAACACCUUGCGGAGCAAGGUGGUCAAGCGACUUACACGUUGAGGUGUGAGCGGGAGGGAUAAUCGAAGAGAGGAAUAUGUGUGAUACGUCUGUUGGGUAGGGGAGCGUUGUGUAAGCUGAAGAAGGUGGUUCGAGAGGGCUGCUGGAGGUAUCACAAGUGCGAAUGCUGACAUAAGUAACGAUAAAGCGGGUGAAAGGCCCGCUCGCCGGAAGACCAAGGUUUCCUGUCCAACGUUAAUCGGGGCAGGGUGAGUCGGCCCCUAAGGCGAGGCUGAGAAGCGUAGUCGAUGGGAAAUGGGUUAAUAUUCCCAUACUUGGAUAAACUGCGAUGUGGGGACGGAGCAGGUUAGGUUAGCGUACGGAUGGAAGAGUACGUUUAAGUUGGUAGGUGGGGUGUUUAGGCAAAUCCGGGCACCUGAUAACACUGAGAGAUGAUGACGAGGCUCUACGGAGCUGAAGUAACUGAUACCCAACUUCCAGGAAAAGCCACUAAGCUUCAGGUUUAUCUAAACCGUACUGGAAACCGACACAGGUGGUCAGGUAGAGAAUACUAAGGCGCUUGAGAGAACUCGGGUGAAGGAACUAGGCAAAAUAGCACCGUAACUUCGGGAGAAGGUGCGCUGGCGUAGUGUGAAGUUCUUCGCGAAUGGAGCAUGAACCAGUCGAAGCGACGAGCUGGCUGCAACUGUUUAAUAAAAACACAGCACUCUGCAAACACGAAAGUGGACGUAUAGGGUGUGAUGCCUGCCCGGUGCUGGAAGGUUAAUUGAUGGUGUCAUCGAAAGAGAAGCACCUGAUCGAAGCCCCAGUAAACGGCGGCCGUAACUAUAACGGUCCUAAGGUAGCGAAAUUCCUUGUCGGGUAAGUUCCGACCUGCACGAAUGGCAUAAUGAUGGCCAGGCUGUCUCCACCCGAGACUCAGUGAAAUUGAAAUCGCCGUGAAGAUGCGGUGUACCCGCGGCUAGACGGAAAGACCCCGUGAACCUUUACUAUAGCUUGACACUGAACCUUGAAUUUUAAUGUGUAGGAUAGGUGGGAGACUAAGAAGCGGUAACGCCAGUUAUCGUGGAGUCGGUGUUGAAAUACCACCCUUUAACGUUUGAUGUUCUAACGAGGCGCCUGGGACAGGUGUUCGGACAGUGUCUGGUGGGUAGUUUGACUGGGGCGGUCUCCUCCCAAAGCGUAACGGAGGAGCACGAAGGUUGGCUAAUGACGGUCGGACAUCGUCAGGUUAGUGCAAUGGUAGAAGCCAGCUUAACUGCGAGACGGACAAGUCGAGCAGGUACGAAAGUAGGUCAUAGUGAUCCGGUGGUUCUGAAUGGAAGGGCCAUCGCUCAACGGAUAAAAGGUACUCCGGGGAUAACAGGCUGAUACCGCCCAAGAGUUCAUAUCGACGGCGGUGUUUGGCACCUCGAUGUCGGCUCAUCACAUCCUGGGGCUGAAGUAGGUCCCAAGGGUAUGGCUGUUCGCCAUUUAAAGUGGUACGCGAGCUGGGUUUAGAACGUCGUGAGACAGUUCGGUCCCUAUCUGCCGUGGGCGUUGGAGGAUUGAGGGGGGUUGCUCCUAGUACGAGAGGACCGGAGUGAACGCACCGCUGGUGUUCGGGUUGUCAUGCCAAUGGCAUUGCCCGGUAGCUAAGUGCGGAAGAGAUAAGUGCUGAAAGCAUCUAAGCACGAAACUUGCCCCGAGAUGAGUUCUCCCUGACGUAGAGUCAGUAAGGGUUGUUGAAGACGACGACGUAGAUAGGUGGGGUGUGUAAGCGGUGUGAGCCGUUGAGCUAACCCAUACUAAUUGCCCGAGAGGCUUAACUAU
rnacentral:rRNA from 1 species